UCUCUCUCUCUCUCUCUCUCUCUCUCUCUCUCUCUCUCUCUCUCUCUCUCUCUCUCUCUCUCUCGUCUGUCUCUUCUCUCUCUCAUCUUGCUGUGUAGCAUAUACAUACAUACAUAAAUACAUACACACACACAUAUAUAUAUACACACACACAACGCUGUAUAUAUAUUAGUGACUGUUGUCGUCUGAUUUAUUUAUUUUUUUAUAACAGUAUAUUGAAUCCAUUCGUGUCUCUUCUCUCAUCUUGCUGUGUAAUGGAUAACUUUAGUCACCAAUGGAAUAUUAUUUUUAUUUAUAUUUAUAUUCAACGUAUUGUAUCCUACUUUUUGGAAAAAUCGCGUAUCCUUAUCGUGUCGUAUCUGUAUCUCGUAUCCUUAUCCAUGCUACUUAGUGUAGUCGGGUCAUAGCUUCGACAAGUUCAUUGCAGCAACAUUUUCUACAGUUCUGCUACAAGUUAUGCACACAAACAGAAAUAAACAAAACAUUUUCCACCAGUAGCGAGUAAACAUCAGUAGAUGAAAGACAAGUUCUCGAGAGUCGACACCAACCUUGUUGGCAAAAGAUGACAAUCUCAAGUAAUUACCACUAUAAAAAAAAUCCUGCAUUUUAAGUUAGUUUGUGGAAAAGGAGGGGAUCUUUGAAGGUACCAUUCAUUCUAAAACAGAUCCUGGAUCAGUAAGUACUGCCAGGGUUGGUAAAGAUUGAUAAAAAAACUAAAGACUGUAAAGUUGAUUCCA